rnacentral:lncRNA from 1 species
GUUUUGGAGUGCAGGCGUGAAUAGUCCUUUCUGUCCUGCUUUGAGUACUGCUGUUGGGUGCCUUGGGGGGACCUUAAGGGAGCUCGGAAGUUGAGACGUGGUGAGUGCGAGAUCACUGCCCACAAAGGGGAGGAGCAGGCGGAUGAACAGCCAGAGCUGCAAUGGUGGAUCCUCCUCCAGGGCUGCAUGGGACGACAGAUAGAUGAGGCUCUAGGACGGGCACAAAUGCUACCCGAAUGCAAACCACUCCGGAGAUCUGUAAAAGGACUGGCCCCGGACAGGAAGCACACUUUAAACUAGAGGCGGGAGUCAAAGCCCCGGUGAAGAUUCUGUGACGGUUCAUUGUAUAAUUUAUGAUGAUGAAGAUUGAGUUGCAUUUUGCGGAAAAGAGAUGUUGAGAUAUCUAAGGCAUUGAGAAAUCUGUCAUGCAGACAUGCACACAGGGAGAGGGAGUACCCAAACUGAUGAGAACUUACAGGAAUUGGACCAUCUAAGCCCUUAGAAAGUGAAGUCCACUGUGUCUCAAACAAAGGAUGGCAAGUGUUCAUGACAUCAAUACUACCCAAGGCUUCAGAGUCAUUGGAUUGCAGGAUGCAGUGACUUAUGAUGAUGUGCGUGUGAACUUCACUGAGGAAGAGUGGGAUUUGCUGGAUCCUUCCCAGAAAAGUCUCUAUGAAGAGGUGAUGCUAGAGACAUACCAGAACAUCACUGCUAUAGGUAAGACUGAAUUUCCUCUUGCUUUUCUGAAUAAGGGACAAAUAUUUCUUUGUUAUUGAUCCUCUGUUGUUUCAAUUGAAGAGGAGGAAGAAUGAGCUGGCAUGAAAGAAUUCAUAUUGGAGAGAAACCGUAUGAACGUAACCAGUGUGGUAAAGCCUUUGCAAGUGACAAUCAUCUCCAAAUACAUAAAAGAACAAAUACUGGAGAGAAACCUUAUGAAUGUAAUCAAUGUGGUAAAGCCUUUUCACAACGCAGUAAUCUCCAAUAUCAUAUUAGAAGUCAUACUGGAGAGAAGCCCUAUAAAUGUAAUCAGUGUGGUAAAGCCUAUGGACAUCACAGUAGUCUCCAAUAUCAUAAAAGAACACAUACUGGAGAGAAACCUUAUCACUGUAAUCAAUGUGAUAAAGCAUUUUCAGAACACAGUAGUCUUGAAUAUCAUAAAAUAACACAUACUGGAGUGAAACCUUAUGAGUGUGAUCAAUGUGGUAAAGCCUUUGCAUGGCAGUCUAGUCUCAAUAUACAUAAAAGAACACAUUCUGGAGAGAAACCUUAUAAGUGUAAUGAAUGUGGUAAAGCCUUUGCACAUCACAAUAGUCUCCAAUGUCAUAAAAGAACACAUACUGGAGAGAGACCUUAUCAGUGUGAUCUGUGUGAUAAAGCAUUUACUCAUCAAAAUAAUCUCCAAUAUCAUAAAAGAACACAUACUGGAAAGAAUCCUUAUGAAUGCAAUCAAUGUGGUAAAGCCUUUGCAAGUCACAGUCAUCUCCAACUACAUGAAAGAACACAUUUUAGAAAAACACCUUAGAAUGCAAUCAAUGUUGUAAAGACUUUGGAUGGAUGACUAAUCUCCAAAGACAUAAAAGAACAUAUACUGGACAGAAACCUUAUGAAUGUAAUCAAUGUGGUAAAGCAUUUGCAACUCACAGUCAUCUACAGCGACAUAAAAGAACACAGAGGAGAGAAACCUGGUUAUUGUUUACAUAUGGACAUAAGGAGAUACAAGUAUGUAUCAAAUUGACAAGGGAUGGAUUGUGAUUGCUGCUCUUGGUUUUCAAUAUAAGAUCAAAAGUGGAAAGCAUAGGUCCAGGCAUGGUGGUACAUGCCCUUGAACCCUAGGAGAUGAGCAUCAAGCAGAUCUCUGAGUUCAAGUCCAUCCUGAUACAGAACAAGUUAAAGGUGAAGAAAUUCUUAGGUCUAGCCCUGUGGAUACAGAGCUUUGCAGAUUUCUGAGUUCAAGGUCAAUAUAUAGAGCAAGUUCAAGGACAGCCAAGCUGAGGAAGUAAAGGAGUUGGAGAACAGAAAACUGGUGAUAAUGUAAUAGAAGAGGCCAUGUCCCAGGCCCAGAAAGCAGCAGAACUCAGCAACUUUGUCCAUGUGGCUCUGACUUUAGAGGUAAGAAUAGAAGGGACUACUGGGAAAAUUGAAGUUCGUUAGCUGUGGCUGAGAAAUUAGAAGUGAUGAAGAAGAGACCAGCAUCAUUGAGGUGAAAUCUUCUAGGAACUGUUUUCUGAGAGGACAAAGAAACUGUGUUCAGAGAUAGCCAGGAUUGUACCUUGUGUUGCAGCUGAACUUGGUCUCAUGUAAGAAUCACCCAGGUGGUACUGGUUUUGAAGGCAUAACAGUGUCAUGAGGAGCAGCUGAGGCUUGGACCAAUGAAGAGAGCAUAAGUGAGACUAUCAGUGAAGCCUAGUUGCAGCAGAAGAACCCAACAUAUUGAAGAUGCCAGUCCAAUGGGAUGAGCAGAAAGAACAGCCCAGUAGAGUGGAGUCAACAAGAGCUUAGAGUGAUACAGAGGUCAGAGCUAGAGAAGUGACCUUAUCUCUCUGGAGGACUGCAGAAGAUCAUGUGUGGAUCCAAGACAUUGGAACAAGAAACUGUAACACUGAGGUUACCUUCGAGACCCCAAGAUCUUUGAGAUGUCAGAGCUGUGGGGUACCUGCUCAGGAAAAACCAGCCAAAGAGAAAGAAUUGUGCUGCAGUGAACACAGCAGAAAGGAGUUGGAGAUCUGAAGAAUGCUUUAACAUCAGACAUAGAGAUGCAGUUUGGAGAUUUCCAAGCUGACUUUUGGUUUUGUUUUGGUCCACUAUUUCCUCAUGAUGACAUUUAGGAUUGUUAAAGUCUAUGUUUUGAAGUGGUAGUAUAUGAUCUGCUUUUAGAUUUUCUUUUUUAGGGGAUUACAGUUACAUUGAAUGAAUCUCAGAAGAGACUUUGACCUUUGGACUUUUAACAUUUUUGAGAGUGGAAUAGAUGAUGGGGACUUUUGAGGUUGGACCUCGUGUAUUUUUCAUUAUGCAUGUUUAAGUAUGGUCCUCAUACAUUCCUGUACUCCAACAUGGUUAUGGGGGCCAUUGAAUGGAAUGUGGGAGUUUGAAUAUGCUUGUCACAGGGAGUGACUCUAUUUAGUGGUGUGAGCUUGUUGGAGGAAGUGGAUAUCUCUGGGGGUGGACUCUGAAGCUCCACCAAGUGCAAAACAGACCCUCCUAUUCCCUCCCUGGAAGACAGUUUCUUCCUGGCUGCCUUUGGAUCAAAAUGCAGAACUCUCAGCUCCUCCAGCAUCAUGUCUGCCUGCAUGCUGCUGCUGUGCUUCCUGCUAUGAUGAAAAUGGACUAAACCUCUGAAACUGUAAGCCAGCCCCAAUUAAAGGUUUGCUUUUAUGAGAGUUGCCUUGGUCAUGAUGUCUAUUCCUAGCGAUGGAAACACUAAGACAGAAACCUUGGGAGUUUAUUUAAUAUGGUGAAGCGUUUGCACAAUUCUGUGGGCUUCAUCAUCAUGAAAGAAUAUGUACUGGAGCCAGACAGUGGUGGUGCAUGCCUUUAAUCCCAGCACUUGGGAGGAAGAUGCAGGAGGACCUCUGAGUUCUCGGCCAGCCUGGUCUACAAAGUGAGUUCCAGGACAGCCUGGGCUAUAGAGAGAAACCCUGUCUUGAAAAACCAAAACACAACAAAACAGUAUGUUUUGGAGAGAAACCUUUUGAAUGUACUUACUAUGGUUAAGCUUCUUCCUACGGUUAAGAAGGAAUGACUUUGACAGAUACAGUUCUCAUUCUCUGUCUUUAGAACGUGAGCAUCACAUAGGAGUUCCGACAAGCUCAUUCUUGGACCCUGUCUACAUGUGUUAAAUCAGAAGUUUUGCUCUCAGUGUAUGACCUCUAGAAAAAUAAUUAAAGGUGGCCCCUGAACUCUAUAUUUCUGACUCUCCAGUUACUACUAAUCUAUCUUUGAAGCAGAGGCCCCAUGUCCUUGAGCUCUCUUUGGGAGCAGAGGUGAUCAGAAAGGUAGUCAAGGGCUCUGAAGCCCCUCAGGCACAUGUGAGGUUUCAGGCAACACCAGGCCCACUGAAGCACACACACAAAACUGUGUUGAGGAUUAAUCUAAUGUGUGCUCUCUGACACAGCGUUUGCAACACAGCAGGUAGAACUUGCCAUAUCCACCCAACAAACCCCAUACACAUCUAGGAAACUUCUACAACUCAGAAACUCCUGUUGCACCUGAAAUUGGAUUUCCCAGAAUCAUGCCAGGUUCAAUGGUGGGAGUGGAAAAGUGAAAAUAUUGUGAUCAAGUAUUGCUAAACGAUGAUCCCCAUCACUGCCUUUAUACCACUUUCAAAUACUUCAUAACAUUUGUCACACAACAGUGAAUGUGUUUGAGCCUAUCCCUAACUCUUAACCCUAACCACUAAUUCCUUACCCUGUUAUCUGUUGACUCUCCUCUAUGUAUACUGAAUAGAGUAUAGAAUUAGGCUUAGAUUAAUGCCAGUUUUUCAUUAAUGUUUGCCUGAAGACAGACUUUUUUCCCAUAUGUUUUUCCUUCAAGUCUCAUACUCUAAGUGCCUUAAAUGCCUCACUUAUUCCUUCAGAACUUGCAAGCAUUUUUGUAGGGUUUUUUUUCCAUGUUGGAACGUUCCUUCAUAAUCUACAUAUAACGCCUAUUUUGUUAAAACUCUUUCAAUGUUUAUACCACUCUAACAUUUUAUAUUUGCUAAUACCAUAAGAUACAAUAGGUUUAACAAAUCCACCAUCUCCUGUGAGAACAUUUAUUCAAGGGUGGGGAAUAAGCAAUGUUUAUCUCCACUUUCUAAGUUCUCAGUGGCACCACAUCUCAAAAUUAACAUAGUUAACCAAAUUACCAUAGUUCAUGCCAGUGAAAUUACUGAGUUUUCCUUAUAAAAUAUUGACAAGGUGUUUCUUAUGAGACCUGGAUAUCCUAGAAUCAGUCACAAUAAAAAUGCUUUACACAUUUUGUAUGGAGACAGUUUCACAUUACAUAAAUAGUUACACCUCUUCCCCCUUUAAAAAUACUGGCCAGCCAAGUCCUC